rnacentral:tRNA from 1 species
GGACUAUUAGCUCAGUUGGUUAGAGCGUACCCUUGAUAAGGGUAAAGUCGCUGGUUCAAGUCCAGCAUGGUCCU